UACGUAGGCAGCAAGCGUUUGUUCGGAGUUACUGGGCGUAAAGGGUGCGUAGGUGGCUCUAUAAGUAUGGUGUGAAAUCUCCCGCUUAACUGGGAGGGUGCGCCGUAGACUGUGGGGCUAGAGUGUGGGAGAGGAAAGUGGAAUUCCUGGUGUAGCGGUGAAAUGCGUAGAUAUCAGGAGGAACACCCGGUGGUGUAAAACGGCU
rnacentral:rRNA from 1 species